rnacentral:rRNA from 1 species
AGAGUUUGAUCCUGGCUCAGGACGAACGCUGGCGGCGUGCCUAACACAUGCAAGUCGAGCGGAGAUGUACUGAAGAUUUAUCGGAUGUACAUCUUAGCGGCGGACGGGUGAGUAACGCGUGGGCAACCUGCCUUCCACUGGGGGAUAACACAGGGAAACCUGUGCUAAUACCGCAUGACAUCACAUAGGGCAUCCUGUGUGAUCAAAGGAGUGAUCCGGUGGAAGAUGGGCCCGCGUCCGAUUAGCUAGUUGGUGAGGUAACGGCUCACCAAGGCGACGAUCGGUAGCCGGACUGAGAGGUUGGCCGGCCACAUUGGGACUGAGACACGGCCCAGACUCCUACGGGAGGCAGCAGUGGGGAAUAUUGCGCAAUGGGGGGAACCCUGACGCAGCGACGCCGCGUGAAGGAAGAAGGCCUUCGGGUUGUAAACUUCUUUGAUAGGGACGAAGGAAGUGACGGUACCUCAAAAACAAGCCACGGCUAACUACGUGCCAGCAGCCGCGGUAAUACGUAGGUGGCGAGCGUUGUCCGGAAUUACUGGGUGUAAAGGGC